UGAGGUCCCUCCCCAGCCGUGAUCAUGCACUGGUGGGGUCCCUCAGCCUGGCCUGCUCCCUUUUACAAUCUGGGACCCCUCUGGUGAUGUCGGAGAGCCAGUUUCAGCCCAAUACCGCAGAAAAAGGAAAUGUAACUGCAGCAUCACUGUCAAGUUCAAGUACAGCAGAUCCUCAGGCCCAGAUAGACCCAGAGACGCUGACUGGCAUAGAAACCGACCAAUCAGAACCAAAUCUGGGUGAAGUGCCAGGAGCCAAUGGAUGCCUAGGAGGCGGAGCUUUUGACGCUGACUGGAAUCGAAACUGACCAAUCAGAAGCUAAUCUGGGUGAACUACAAAGGCAGAACCUAAGGUGGGGGCUGAGGAGGGGUUUUAAGGGCAACAGCUGUUUGGUGUAAGAAGUAAGAAAGUUCAAUUUUUUAAUGA